AGAAGCGGCGUCCAAAUUCUUAUUUGAACCCAAUUCCAGGGUGCAAUGUUGAUAAAAAAUUGAAGGGCGAUCCGAAAAUUGCUAUGCUGACAAAUGCCAGCAUGUCGACAACUACAUAUAAACUCGAUAAAUCUGCGAAAAAAUAUGCUCCCAGAAAUACGUGUGCAUCUGAUGACAUUUGCCAGCUGUUUGCUGCUGCUUAUUCCUUUUAUCCAGCAUAUCGUGGAUAUGUAGAAGGGUUGACCAAGGAUGUUCCCAUGUUUGAAAUUGCUGUCAUGUUAGCAAAAAAUGGUAACAUGAAAACAAUCAACAAAAAGAGAGCAGAAAUGC